UCCGCCGCCAUAUGUAGCAUUUGACAGUUGCCGCGAAUAUAAAAAUGAAUAAGAAACUGCAAAUUUGAGCAAAGAGUUAAAAGUUUAAAAAAUAUAAUUAAAUAAUGCCAAAUUAAGUGUGUGCUGUAGUGAAGUUAAGUGUAGUGAUUAUUUUACAAAGCGUUUAAACAAUGAAGAAGUGCUAGCGCUGUUGUUCAAUUCCCAUAAUAGUGGGUUCUACUUUGCGGUACUUGAUCCGGAUUUUAUCAGGCAAAGGACUCUUUCCGAGAUAUAACCCUGUUUAGACCGGUUAAGCGCUUAUGAGGGGGAAGAAGAGUUAGUGAGAGGGUGCUGCACAACAAACAUAGAAUAAAACACAAAACACCAAAAAUAUUCGCAACGCAUUUCUACUUCUUAUGCACUCAUCUUUCUCUGCCACUGAACCACAUAAUUGCAGAAACAUUAAUGGUUUGUUGUGGAGUGAGAGACUGCAUGUUGUUGCGCUAAUGCACUAAUUAAGAGAUCAAAAGUAUUGAUGAGUGGCCGUGAGAGACAGCGUGAGUAUGUUGGAAUGUGUUACCGUUUGGUUUUCAUACUCAUUGCAUGUAGUGGAAUUUGGUGAACAGUUGCUGCUUGUGUUAAAGUGUAGAAAAAUUGCGAAUUUGACUAUAAAUUGUAAAUAAUUAAUUAAUAAAAUGUGUUUAAAAGUGUUUUAAAAUGUCUAGUGAAGUGUUCAAAGUGCGGCCAAUUGAAAAGUGUAUAAAUAGUGUUGUGAAAAAGUGUGUUAAAGCGCUUAAAAGAGUUUGUGUGCGAAAGUCAAUUGGCAUGCAAAUUGUUUGUGCAGUCGGUGCAUGUUCGUUUCUUGUGUGUUGUACAUCGUAUGUGUGCAUGCAAAGACUUGACGCAACAGGCAAAUAUGUAUGUAAGU